rnacentral:tRNA from 1 species
CAGGUGAGGGGCUUCUGGCGGUGGCGGUGGGAUUUGAACCCACGGACGGGGGUUACCCGUCACGCGCUUUCGAGGCGCGCUCCUUCGGCC